UUGAACGCUGGCGGCAGGCUUAACACAUGCAAGUCGAACGGUAACAGAGGAUAGCUUGCUAUUUUGCUGACGAGUGGCGGACGGGUGAGUAAUGCUUGGGUAUAUGCCAAUAGGUGGGGGACAACAGUUGAAACGACUGCUAAUACCGCAUAAUCUCUUCGGAGCAAAGCAGGGGACCUUCGGGCCUUGCGCCUAUUGAUUAGCCCAAGUGGGAUUAGCUAGUUGGUAAGGUAAUGGCUUACCAAGGCGACGAUCCCUAGCUGGUCUUAGAGGAUGACCAGCCACACUGGAACUGAGACACGGUCCAGACUCCUACGGGAGGCAGCAGUGGGGAAUAUUGCACAAUGGAGGAAACUCUGAUGCAGCCAUGCCGCGUGUGUGAAGAAGGCUUUCGGGUUGUAAAGCACUUUCAGCGAGGAGGAAAGGGCGUAGGUUAAUAACUUGCGUCUGUGACGUUACUCGCAGAAGAAGCACCGGCUAACUCCGUG
rnacentral:rRNA from 1 species